ensembl:lncRNA
AAAACCAAAACUAUUGUUACUAACCCCUUGUAGAGAACCAACAUGAUCAAAAUCAAAUCACUUCAUUGGUGUGACCCUGCAAAGCACAAGGUGCCCUGAACAAAUUCAACUUGAUUGCUGAUGGGGUGGAUAAGAUAGCCCCAGCUGUUGUACACCUAAAGCUUUUCAAAAGGUUCCCAUUUUCAUACCAGGAGGUCCCUGUGUCAAGUGGUUCAGAGUUCAUUGUGUCAGUGGACUGCUGGAUAGUCACCAAAGCCCAUGUCCUAUCCUACAAGCAGAGAAUCAAAGUGGAGCUGAAGAGCUGUUUUCAAUAAGAUGCCUCCAACAAGGAAAUGGAAUCAAAAUUGAGUCGAAUAGUCCACUGCCAGUCCUGCUGGGCCACUCGUCUGAAGGCAUCAGCAGGGCCCAUUGGAACGGCCUGGAACUGGGAUUCAAAGACUCACAUGGAGUACAUCCAGACGGACGUCAUCAUUAAUGGUGACCACUUGUUGGGGGAUUUACUGCUUUAGAUUGUAUUUGUGAGGAUGGGGAUGUCAUCGGAAUAAAUACUCUGGUCAGAGCAGGAAUAUCCUUUGCAAUUCCUGCAGACAGAGUACGUCAGUUCCUUACCGAUUCAUGCGACAGAACAAUCAAGGUUUGAUCCCAGAUCUGAGGGAGCGGCAGAGUGACUUCCCAGACGUGAGCUCAGGAGUGUACGUUUUAUGAAGUGAUCCCAGGAACAGCUACCUCCAG